rnacentral:lncRNA from 1 species
UUGCAACACUAUUUUAUGGGAUGUUCUUCAUUGAUGACAGGGAAACAAAAUGCAAGCAAGUGUAGUUGAAAAAUGGUAUAAACGGUUUGUAGAGUUUCUUGUGGAGAAGGACUGUUUGAUUAUUAAAAAUUUAGAUAUCGUUAAAGAUUCUUCAAGUAAAAAUAUCCUGACAAUCCACUAAAAAGUAGACAUGGACUCAAGCUAUUGAUACUUGAUGAGGAUG